GAUGAACGCUGACAGAAUGCUUAACACAUGCAAGUCAACUGUGGCGGACGGGUGAGUAACGCGUAAAGAACUUGCCUUACGGAUAGGGACAACAUUUGGAAACGAACGCUAAUACCUGACACUGUGGGAGAGCUUUGCGUCCCAUUAGCUAGUUGGAGUGGUAGCGGCUCACCAAGGCGAUGAUGGGUAGCCGGCCUGAGAGGGUGAUCGGCCACAAGGGGACUGGGACACGGCCCUUACUCCUACGGGGGGAAGCAGUGAAGAAUAUUGGACAAAGGGCCAAAGUCUGAUCCAGCAUUUCUGUGUGCACGAUGAUGUUUUCGGAAUGUAAAGUGCUUUCAGUUGGGAAGCGGUACCAACAGAGAAAGUGACGGCUAAAUACGUGCCAGCAGCCGCGGUAAUAC
rnacentral:rRNA from 1 species